GAUGAAGAACGCAGUGAAUUGCGAUAUGUAAUGUGAAUUGCAGAAUUCAGUGAAUCAUCGAAUCUUUGAACGCACAUUGCGCCCGCCAGUAUUCUGGCGGGCAUGCCUGUUCGAGCGUCAUUUCAACCAUCAAGCCCCAGGCUUGUGUUGGGGACCUGCGGCUGCCGCAGGCCCUGAAAACCAGUGGCGGGCUCGCUGUCACACCGGGCGUAGUAGAUUUUAUCUCGCUCAGGGCGUGCUGCGGGUUCCGGCCGUUAAAAAGCCUUUUUUACCCAAGGUUGACCUCGGAUCAGGUAGGAAGACCCGCUGAACUUAAGCAUAUCAAUAAGCGGAGGA
rnacentral:misc_RNA from 1 species